AGAGUUUGAUCCUGGCUCAGAUUGAACGCUGGCGGAAUGCUUUACACAUGCAAGUCGAGCGGCAGCGCGGGGCAACCUGGCGGCGAGCGGCGAACGGGUGAGUAAUGCAUCGGAACAUGUCCAUGUCGUGGGGGAUAGCCCGGCGAAAGCCGGAUUAAUACCGCAUAAGCCCGAGAGGGGAAAGCAGGGGACCGCAAGGCCUUGCGCGAUUGGGUUGGCCGAUGUCCGAUUAGCUUGUUGGUGAGGUAAAGGCUUACCAAGGCGAUGAUCGGUAGCUGGUCUGAGAGGAUGAUCAGCCACACUGGGACUGAGACACGGCCCAGACUCCUACGGGAGGCAGCAGUGGGGAAUUUUGGACAAUGGGGGCAACCCUGAUCCAGCCAUUCCGCGUGAGUGAAGAAGGCCUUCGGGUUGUAAAGCUCUUUUGUCCGGAGCGAAACGGUGGCGGUGAAUAUCCGCCACUACUGACGGUACCGAAGAA
rnacentral:rRNA from 1 species